rnacentral:rRNA from 1 species
AUUGAACGCUGGCGGCAUGCUUUACACAUGCAAGUCGGACGGCAGCACAGAGAAGCUUGCUUCUUGGGUGGCGAGUGGCGAACGGGUGAGUAAUAUAUCGGAACGUACCGAGUAAUGGGGGAUAACUAAUCGAAAGAUUAGCUAAUACCGCAUAUUCUCUGAGGAGGAAAGCAGGGGACCUUCGGGCCUUGCGUUAUUCGAGCGGCCGAUAUCUGAUUAGCUAGUUGGUGGGGUAAAGGCCUACCAAGGCGACGAUCAGUAGCGGGUCUGAGAGGAUGAUCCGCCACACUGGGACUGAGACACGGCCCAGACUCCUACGGGAGGCAGCAGUGGGGAAUUUUGGACAAUGGGCGCAAGCCUGAUCCAGCCAUGCCGCGUGUCUGAAGAAGGCCUUCGGGUUGUAAAGGACUUUUGUCAAGGAAGAAAAGGCUGUUGCUAAUACCGACAGCUGAUGA